rnacentral:rRNA from 1 species
GAUGAACGCUGGCGGCGUGCCUAAUACAUGCAAGUCGAGCGAACGGACGAGAAGCUUGCUUCUCUGAUGUUAGCGGCGGACGGGUGAGUAACACGUGGAUAACCUACCUAUAAGACUGGGAUAACUUCGGGAAACCGGAGCUAAUACCGGAUAAUAUUUUGAACCGCAUGGUUCAAAAGUGAAAGACGGUCUUGCUGUCACUUAUAGAUGGAUCCGCGCUGCAUUAGCUAGUUGGUAAGGUAACGGCUUACCAAGGCAACGAUGCAUAGCCGACCUGAGAGGGUGAUCGGCCACACUGGAACUGAGACACGGUCCAGACUCCUACGGGAGGCAGCAGUAGGGAAUCUUCCGCAAUGGGCGAAAGCCUGACGGAGCAACGCCGCGUGAGUGAUGAAGGUCUUCGGAUCGUAAAACUCUGUUAUUAGGGAAGAACAUAUGUGUAAGUAACUGUGCACAUCUUGACGGUACCUAAUCAGAAAGCCACGGCUUACUACGUG